UAGGCACCAAGAAGUUGGUUACGUUCCACCAUGGAAUUAUUGGAAGUUUUCAAAAAAUCCUUUAUGAUGAAAUUAAUAAUUGGGAAAUAUUUGUAAAGCUGCUAUUGUUUGAAAACGAAUAAUUGUAUUUGUCUUUGUUUUUGUGCCAGGCUUUCAAGAAAACUUUUAUUCUGAAAACCCGAAGUAGUGCUAAUCCUGUAUCUUCUGUAAAGACUUUGACCAAUUGACGCGAGUGCGCGUUGAUGUGAUCAUUGCCAACUUUUUACGCUUCUACUGAUAACCAGUUUGAUUGCAUAUUUCUCCACUGAGAUACACGCAGGCCUGACCAGUCAAUCCAGCUCCAUCCCCAAAAGUCGUCAUGUCUGCUGAAGAGGCUUCGCAGCCGUCUCCCGGGGAGCAAUGCCGGGCCCUGGUGCUCACCGGCUACGGGGGCUACGACAAAGUCAAACUGCAGGUGAAGCCGCUGGGACAACCCAAGCUGCAGCCCGAGGAGGUUCUGGUGCGGGUCAAGGCAUGCGGGCUCAACUUCGCUGAGCUGAUGGGCAGGCAGGGGCUGUACGAUCCGCUGCCUCCCCCACCGGUCAUCCUUGGAAUGGAGGGCGCCGGGAUCAUCGAAGCGGUCGGAGAAGAGGUGAAGGAGCGAAAGGUUGGCGAGCGUGUGAUCGUGAUGAGACGCAACGGCAUGUGGCAGCAGUUUGUGGUGGUGGACAUCAAACACGUCUACCCCAUGCCAAAGUCCAUGAGCUUCGAGGAGGGCGCUGCGCUGCCCAUCAGCUACCUGACGGCGUACUUGAUGCUCUUCCGCAUGACCAACCUCACGCCGGGAAAGAGCGUACUGGUCCACAUGGCGGCAGGUGGCGUGGGCACCGCCGCCACCCAGCUGUGUCAGACGGUGCCUGACGUGACCGUUUUCGGCACGGCGUCCUCAUCUAAGCACGACAUCAUCACCCAGAAUGGCGUGACCCACGCCAUCGACUAUCGGACCAGAGACUAUGUGGAGGAAAUUCGCAAAAUUAGCCCCAAAGGAGUGGACAUUGUUUUGGAUCCACUGGGUGGUGCUGACACACAAAAGGGCUUCAGCCUGUUGAAACCUUUUGGCUCACUCAUUAUAUUUGGUGCCGCCAACUGCGUGACAGGCCAGAAGAAGAGCCUGAUGGCCCUGGUGAAGGUGUGGUACAACCAGCUGUCAUUCAACGCACUGAAGCUGAUGCAGACCAACAAGGCGGUGUGCGGCUUCCACCUGAGCUACCUGGACGACGAGAUCAUCAGCGCGUGCAUGACCUCCCUGCUGCAGCUCUACGACGAGGGCAAGCUCAAACCUAUCAUCGACUCCCGCUUCCACUUCGAGGAGGUCACAGAUGCAAUGCGGCGCAUGCACGAGCGUCAAAAUAUCGGCAAGGUCAUCCUUCUUCCUGAGCCCAAAACACAGAAUGACACAACGACAUAGAAAUGAUGUCAUUGAAGGGUUGAUUAAUACAAUUUCCCCACAAUGCUUUCUUUCCCCAUAGGUCAUAAUCAGACAUAUUGCUUGAAUACCGUUAUACUUACUAUACUUACUAGUUUAUUACUGUUCCGUUAUUUACUUCAACUGAGACUUGUCUCCCCCCCCAAGUAUAACUCACAUUCAUCUUUCAAUUUCAUAAUCCUGCUGUAUGUGUACUUUGGCACGUUUUAAGUUAGAUCUCUGAUACGUUUAAACAGUCCCAAUAGUUUCCAAUGUAAUUUAAAUUACACCUGGUAGUUGAGAAUAAAUGACAAUUUUAUGUAACAAA